AUUGAACGCUGGCGGCAUGCUUUACACAUGCAAGUCGAACGGCAGCGCGGGCUUCGGCCUGGCGGCGAGUGGCGAACGGGUGAGUAAUGCAUCGGAACGUGCCCAGUCGUGGGGGAUAGCCCGGCGAAAGCCGGAUUAAUACCGCAUACGACCUGAGGGUGAAAGCGGGGGACCGAAAGGCCUCGCGCUAUUGGAGCGGCCGAUGUCGGAUUAGCUAGUUGGUGGGGUAAAGGCUUACCAAGGCGACGAUCCGUAGCUGGUCUGAGAGGACGACCAGCCACACUGGGACUGAGACACGGCCCAGACUCCUACGGGAGGCAGCAGUGGGGAAUUUUGGACAAAGGGGGCAACCCUGAUCCAGCCAUGCCGCGUGCGGGAAGAAGGCCUUCGGGUUGUAAAACGCUUUUGUUCGGGAAGAAAUCCUCUGGGCUAAUACCCCGGGGGGAUGACGGUACCGGAAGAAUAAGCACCGGCUAACUACGUG
rnacentral:rRNA from 1 species